ensembl:lncRNA
CUCGUUUUGUUUUUCAGUCUAAUUUGCUUUACUUUCACCUUCUGGCGGGAAGACCACAGAUUUGAUCCUCAAACAAAACAAUACCAACAUUAUUCUGCCCAGAGAGAUAUAACACAGGUUCUAAUGUCCUUUAUGGUGUGGGGGUUAUGAUGUAACACAGGUUCUAAUGUCCGUUGAGGUGUUGGGGUUAGGGUAUAACACAGGGCCGAUCUAAUAAAGGUUAAAGGGGUAGGGUUAGGGUAUAACACAGGGCCGAUCUAAUAAAGGUUAAAGGUGUUGGGUACGGUCACAGAGCCGUCUCUUCCUGCCUCCCCUCCAGGGCCUCCACGGUGGCUUUCAGGCCGGCUAUCUGACUCAGAUGGCUCUGGGACAUGGCUGCCACCUUCUGCUCCAGCCUCCAUACCUGCUCCUGGUACCUCCUCCGGCUGCUCCUGUGAGCGCUCGCUGCUUUCC